GGUUAAAUGCAGAGCAUGAAUUCUGAGUAUGGGUCACCAUACUUGGCUGUAUGUCACAUCACUAAAAAAAAUCACUAAUGAAAAGUCUAUAUUUCUACCUUGUCAAAAUCAGCUCUGCACAAAUCAACCCAUUUGGUUGCACGUCCCUUUAAAUGCUAAUGAGCUCUGCUGACCCCGCCCCUCUCUUCUGUGGGGUGAUGAGCCGUUCUAAUGAGACUGUUUACUUUAGCCACAUUUGGCCACAAAUCUGGUUAACUAGCACAUUAUUAAGAAAGGGGAUUUGCAAAGAUGCUUAAAAAAACCCUUAUACUCACUUCUUCUGGAGGUGAAGCUGGAUCACGAAUGGUUUGCACGAACAUAGACACAUUUAGGUAGAUCCGGAGGUGCAUUCCCUUCACAAACAAACGUAAUCCUCUGCGUGUUCAGCAGAUGCGGGAGUAAAUGACUACUGCUAUGUUCAUUAUUAUAUCCAACAACAGAACACCUCAGUCGCUUCGGAGACAUUUGUCUACGUCCCUUCUCCGGCAUCGAAACAAUGGCAGUCGGACUGUUACAGCUCACUCAGGGUGGGUCUAAGGAAAAAACUAAUGUCUGGACCAGAUACACAGCAAACGGUGCUAAACAGCUUGACACAGGAGUGUUGAGAGGAAACAGAUGCCUGACUUCAGCAUGAAACAGAAAAGAAAAGGCAUAUUAUUGUCAGUGAAUAAGUCCUUGGGUCUCAUUUGUGAGUAAGUGCUGUGUGUAAGUUGUAGUAAUAUGUAGUUUUUUGGUUGACUGUAGGUCAACAGUUAUUCCUCACGUUUUAAUUCUCCAGAAGCCUAGAUCAACAAAUGGGUUUAGUUAUUCAUGGAUGCCCAGCCCCUCGUAAUAGGGCUUGCAAGAGUACUCAUUUUCACUAAUCACCUAGUCAUCCAUAAAUUCAGUCGACUAGUUAGUAGGUCAGGGUUACCCUACAGUUGCAGCCAGUCUCCAGCCAUGCUGAGAUGAUGGAAAACAAAAUCUUGGAAGUCUCUAUUGCCAGAUACAUGCUGCAUGAAUAGUUCAAAAUGUCCUGAUAUCUUAUAGUUUAUGUCAGCUUUUGGCCGAGGUUCAGUUGAUUAAUUGAUGUCAGAGGGGUUUGCAAGAAUUUUGGCUUUUAUGUGUGAACACUCUUUAUGAAGUCUUUAUGAACGCAACAUGCUCCAGUUUUGCUGUUGACAUUAACAUAAUUCCACUUAUAUUUUGCCUUUACAGGAUACCGAACAGAAAUAAUGUUACACAAAUACAGUUUGUGGACAGUUGUGGACUAUUAUUGCAAUAAAGAACAAACACUGAAGUCAUGUGAUCCACUAGUCGAUAAAGAUAUCAAUUAAGUGGAUUUCACUUGAGAACAAAGACUGCACAAGAUGAAGUAAUAUGAUCUGAAUUAAAAAUAAAAAAUAAAU